AGGGCCUGGAGCGCCCUGGAGGAGCGGCCCGCGCUCUGCGUCUCUCCGCGCUCUCUGCCAGACCGGAACUCUUGCAGUGAUUUCUUACGGGGAGUAAGGAUGAGGUGGGGAAUGAGACUGAAGAAAUGGAAUUAAAAAGAUAACUAUAACUAAAUAAAGAGGAGCCCUGCAGUAAUGUAAUGAGCCAUGAACUGAAGAGUAACAUUUAUUCAACUCUGCCUGUGAAGGAGGGAGAGGGAAAGACAACUAGAGACAGAGGAGAAACGGAAAAAGGAGAGACAGGGUCUCAAAUAUUCUUCAUUUUCAUAUAUCGUGAGGCCUUGAGCCCUUGG
rnacentral:lncRNA from 1 species